rnacentral:rRNA from 1 species
AUGAAAUGCCUGAGUUGGAACUGCCGGGGGCUUGGGAACCCCGAGGCAGUUCGAGAGCUUCGGAAAUUAACGAAGCAAGAAGUGCCUGCCCUGCUCUUUGUUUCGGAGACGAAGAUUAGGGCUAGAAGAGUAGAGAUCCUGCAACAAAGUCUUGGCUUUGCGGGAUGCUUUGCAGUGGAUAGUGCAGGACUAAGCGGUGGUAUCGGUUUGUUCUGGUCAAGUGAUGUUAAGGUUGAAUUAAAAAACUACAGUUCUGGACACAUUGAUGUUAUGGUUCAGAAAGCUGAUUUGUCUACUCCCGAAUUGAGGUUUACGGGCUUCUAUGGUGCGCCAAGAAAAGAGGAUAGACACCAUAGUUGGCGCUGUUUGAGAAUGUUGCAUGCAAUACCGCACCAUGCAUGGUUGUGCCUUGGAGAUUUUAAUGAAACACUGUUUGGAACUGAACAUUUUAGCAGGGCCGAGAGGCCAGAAGUGCAGAUGUUAGCUUUUCGGAAAGCAUUGGAAGAUUGUUCCCUGCAGGAUCUUGUGUUUUCAGGGGUACCGUACACAUGGGAUAAUAAGCAAGGGGGUGUGAUGAAUGUGAAAGCCCGCCUUGAUCGAGGUGUAGUGAACGAGGGGUUCCUACAAAGGUUUGACCCUGUGCGUGUUCGCCAUAUCAGUGCGGUGGAAUAA